ACUCCUACGGGAGGCAGCAGUGGGGAAUAUUGGACAAUGGGGGCAACCCUGAUCCAGCAAUGCCGCGUGUGUGAAGAAGGCCUUCGGGUUGUAAAGCACUUUCAGUGAAGAAGAAAGUGAGGCUUUAAUAGAGCCUGACUGUGACGGUAUUCACAGAAGCAGCACCGGCAAACUCUGUGCCAGCAGCCGCGGUAAUACAGAGGGUGCAAGCGUUAAUCGGAUUGACUGGGCGUAAAGGGCGCGUAGGCGGUUAAAUAAGUGCGUUGUAAAAGGCUCGGGCUUAACCUGGGCAUGUCAAUGUAGACUGUAUAACUGGAGUGAGAGAGAGGUUAUGGGAAUUUCCGGAGGAGCGGUGAAAUGCGUAGAUUUCGGAAGGAACAUCAGUGGCGAAGGCGAAGUAACUGGCUCUUAACUGACGCUGAGGCGCGAAGGCGU
rnacentral:rRNA from 1 species